CGAAAUUACUAUAAUUUUCCCUUUUCUGUCCUUCCAAAAUGACUCCUCUAGGCUUGGACCUCAGGCAGCCUAUAAAAUGUGGCUACCGAAAAAGUUGAGCGUGCGGAUGCUGUUUAUUACAUUACUGCUGAGUGCUUCUGUGUUGCAGGGCUCUGAGCUGGGGGAAUCGGGCAGUCAGGAUUUCUAUUCCAGAUGUGUUUUGUGAGUGCUCUGGAGGCUCUGCAAGUGAGGAGAGCUGCCCGCAGGGUGCAGCAUCCCCCUGCUGGGCUCUGCGUUGCAGGGUGCUGUGGGUGUGCAUCAGACACUGGGUGCCCGUGGGUGCCCCUGCUGCCUGUGUGCCCUGAUGGUGCUCAGGUGCAUCUCCCCAGGAGGAAGGAGGGGUUUGAGCUAGGAGACAUGGAUGGUGGGGACUUGUCUGGGCUCCCCGCACACUGGGGUUUCCUUGCUUUUAGGGCUGCUCAGCUCUCCCAUCCUGCCUGGCUCCAGUCAAGGCCUACAUUCUUCUGAGUGACUGGGGCUCUGUGCUGGGCCAGGGUGCUGGAGGACCCCUGCUGGAGGAGCGGUCAGCGCAGAGGUAAGGGAAGGGACUUCUGUCUCUCUUGGUUUUGCUGCUGUGCCUUAGUGUGUGGAACAGGGAGAAAUUAGCAUUGCUGUCUGAGCUGGGCCUGUCCUGCAUGGGGAAAAUGAGCAGUGAGCAGGUGUGACCAGCAUUGAGGGCUUGCUCUGUGCACAGAGAUGAACAAUGGCUUAAUGGAAGUGCUGGGACUUCACCAUGCAGCCAGAUGUGUAAUUUCCUCCCAGUGGAAAUGUUGGGCACUUGCUUGGUGGAGUUAAAAGCUGAGGAUUAUCUAUGCUGCAGGAAAGUCACUGCUUUCUAAACAAAACAUUUUUGAAUAUUCAAGCCUAAAGCACUUGGACUGUGGCAUUUCUAAGUUCAGUCUUUCAUUUAGCAGUAUCUCCUCUUAAAGUAAACAUUGUUGAAGUAAGGUUUUUCCCACAGAUGAGUUUGAUGGACCUGCUUGUUCUGAUGAAAGACUUCAUUCCCCGCUUGUGUGGGUGCUCUGCUUCAGCUUUAAAUUGCACCGUGUCCUGUGUUCAAGUGUUCUUAUGCCAGGCCCCCUGAAUAUGCAUUGCUGUGAUGAGCUGGAAGGGGUGCUGCAUGGAGCUGUAGCUUAGCCAGGUAUUUUGGGGCUGGAGCUGUGCCCGGUGUCUGUUAGAUGAACGAAUGUCCACAUUGCAGCUGAUGUUACCAGGGGUGCACAAGGGUGGCAUGGAUUUACAAACAGAUGGUGGAAGACCUCUGAAAGGCACAGUAAGGAACACCUCCCAGUGUGGAUGCUUAAUCUGCUGGGAGGACGGGUGGGUGUGAGGUGUUUUCAGUUCUAAAUAAAAAAUAUUACAUAGAUCA
rnacentral:lncRNA from 1 species